CGUGGCCGCGCUCCUCACCGCCGCCGAGGCCGGGCUGUAAUUAGGAUAAUUGCGCGGCUCCGCGCCUGGGGCAGUUGCAGGACCCUAACUGCGCAGCGCUGGCCGGGGAUGGGCAGGGACAGUGAGGGGGGCGGGGGCUGAAAGUGUCGCAGCCUGGUCCUCCAGACAGGUGUUUUGUGUGCAUCUACGUCUAUGCAGCAUGUGUGUGCCUGGUGCCCUUGGAGACCAGAAGUGGACAUCACAUGCCCCAGAAGUAGAGUUACAGAUGCUCAUGAUACACCAUGAACAUAUCCAAAGGAAAGGAAGCCAUCGGACGAAGGAGACAUGAUGUGCCCAUGUUUGCUGCAACUCUUCACAUGGCUCGGCAUGUAUCUGCUGCAUGAAUGGAUAAAGGAAGUGUGUUGCACAUGAACGUGGAAUAGUAUUCAGUCAUAAAAACUCCCAAAGUGAACCAGAGGACAUUAUGUUAUGUGAAAUAACUCAGACACAGAGAGACACACAUCAAAUGUUCUCUUUGAUCUGUGUAAGAGAGGAAAAAGUUAAUCUGGGCCUGGGAAGACGGCUCGGUGAGUAAGAGUGCUUUCCGUACAGGUAUGAGGACCUGGGUUCAAAUCCACAAAAUCCAUGUAAGAAACGGUGUACCAUGUACCUGUAGCCUGGAGCUGUGUAUGUAUGUGUGUGUGCACACGGGUGGAGACAGGAGAAUCGCUGGGGCUUGCUGGUUGACGGCCUCACUUCAGGUUCAAGGGAAUAAUGUGAAGAGAGAUCAAGACACCAUGUAAUGUCUUCCUUCGGCCUCUUGAAGUAUGUCCACAGGUAUGCAUCCUGUACACACAUUCACAUAUAUCAGAAACGCGUGUGUGCACGCGCGCGCACACACACAUACACACAUGCACGCAUGCACGCACAUCAAACAAAUUUAAAGAUAUGUGUAUGCUCUCGACCUUGAUUAGAUCAUUUAACACUCGCACAGGUAUCAAUCAGCUCAUUACAUGCUUCCCUGGCAUAUGUCCAGGGAAGGCAAUGGUAGAAACUAAAAUACUGAGAAUCGAGGGUGACACAGGUCUGCUCCACUUCGUCUUUUUCUCCACUUCUUCUCCGUGUCUUUGGAACUAUGUUAACAGGGAAUGUUAGUUACUUAACGAUUCAACUUCAUUGUAUGCUGUGAAGCAGAGGCUUCUAAACAUAACUUUAGCUUGACUUUGGUGUUUGAGUCUUUUAAAAAUACUUUCCAAUUAGUAUUUUGACAUUAUUUUUCCUCAGAGUGAAGCGGAUCACAGUAAUUUCUAUUUCAGAGCAAGACAUGUGGGAAGAAAAUGUACAACUCUUUGAUGAAAAUUAUUUUCUAUUUAAUAACUUUGAAUAUUUCACAAGAAAAAGAGAUCUAUGUUAAAAAUCAAGCAGGUUUCUUGUAGCAUUAUAUUCUCUGUAUUAAAAACUUUAUGCAUCCAAAUGAUAGAUUUUCUAGGUUUUGAUGAACGCAUUAUCACCUAUAGAACCAGCACCACACCCAGGAAUAUGCAUAAACCUGUGUUGGCUAGUUUUAUGUCAACUUGGCACAAGCUAGAGUCACUUGGGAAGAGGGACCUUAGUUGAGAGGUGUUCCCACCAAACAGGCCUGUGGGCAAGCCCCGGGGUGCUUUGUCUUGACUGAUGAUUGAUUUAGAGUGUUCUGCUCACUGGCGGUGAUGCCAUACCUCGUCUGGUGGACCUGUCCUGGAUGUUAUAGCAAGAUCCAGACCAGCCAAGGCUACAGAGUGAGACCCCAUCUUAAGAGGGGGAAGGUCACUUGCUGAAUGGUAGGCGGUACCCAGCCUGCCACUCUUUCUUAGCUGCGAAAAGAGAUUUUUUAAAAAAAAGUUACACAUUUAAACAAUUAAAUCAAGUCUCAUUUAUCCCAGGUUGGCCUCAAACUUGCAAAUGUAGUAGAGGAUGGCCCUGAACUCUGUUUCCCUCACUUCCACUUCCAGAAGGUUAGAAUUACAGACACACACCACCACACCUGGUUAUCUAGUGCCGGAGACCGAACCCAGGGAGUCGUGCAUACAAGGCAACGGAACUCCGCCAGAUAAAAACGAAAUAGGCAUUUUGUGAAAAAUCCCUUACUUGGUAGCCUUAGGCUCUGCCCUACUGUCCUAUUUAUAAAUCUUUCCAUCAGUUCGGCCCUGCCCAAAUAUCUGCAGCUUAUUUUACACCCAGAUAUGGCACAACCUGUCAGAGAGAGGAGAAAGGGCCGUCUGUAUCUUGUUCUUUUGUUCACAUAGGCACACUUGUCAGGAACAAAAUUUUAUUUUCCUUGAAAAACUGAGAGGUGUUGAACCAGGGGUAGUGCCACGCCUU